rfam:Pteropus alecto contig86954, whole genome shotgun sequence.
GGUUCCAUAGUAUAGUGGUUAACAUGUUUGCUUUACACGCAGAAGGUCCCGGGUUCACGCCCCAGUGGAGUCA